UCUACCAAUCAGCAAAACGCUCCAACGAGCUCGCAAACUGUAGUAUCACGUAACCAGGUCCAUUUAGCUGCUCUGUCAUACAGAGAGACAGUUUCUUCAGACUCCGGACAACGUGGUAUGAACCAGUGGUGAGUCUCGUCUAAUGGAGAGGAAAACCUGGCAAACACCUGGUAACAACAUGGAUAAUGUAGGCUAGAUGAGUUGUGCGCACUCGGAAACGAAUUGGUCUCUAAUUCAAACCCCCAGAAGUGACAUUUGGACUUCUACAUUGCCGUGGGUGUCUAAGAACCAAUGAAUGCCACUGCUUGGAUAAUGGAGGUUUGGAUGAGUUCAAACCACGACGGGUCUCGCAGCCGCUACUGGUAACGGUUUAGGCUAAAUGUUUGGUCACCUAAUGCGCGGUGCUAUAACAUCUCCAACAGAAACAGAAAGAUUUCCGACUGAUGUGAAACAUUUCAACUGAUCUAAGAUCUCGGGAGCUGUUAGGUUAAAAUCAGAGAGCUGCUGAUGAAAUAUAGCCAUAUAUACGUGGUUAUAUUACGGCUUUUGUUUUUUUAUAACGCUGGGAAACCCGUUAAACACCUGUUUAGAGUCGAGACGCGUAAUCCCAUGUUGGAGAGAUCACAAGAAAUGGUUGGGUUGCAGAGAAGAGGGGAAUUUGACAUUCUCUCUGUGUCACUCAUAGUGGCGUUGAUGUGCUGUGCGCAGAGCGCCAACGAACCGGGGAAUAUGUCUUUCGUAAAAGAGACGGUGGACAAACUGUUAAAGGGGUAUGAUAUCCGCCUUCGACCAGACUUUGGAGGCAAACCGGUUUCUGUUGGCAUGAGUUUAGAUGUGGCAAACAUCGACAUGGU